UUUUAGCAAGAAGCCAUCUUCAGAGCACUAAUUCGUAAUAAUUGGAAUUUGAAGGUGGUUCCCGGGGUUUUGAGCAUGAGGCCAUCUUCAAAGCACUAAUUUGUAAUAAUUGGAAUUUGAAGGUGGUUCCGAGGGUUUUGAGGUGCGCUGAAGACGAUGCAAUGAUUUAAAAUUGUGUCCGACGUUUCGUUUUAGCAAGAAGACAUCUUCAGAGCACAAAUUCGUAAUAAUUGGAAUUUGUUGGUGGUUUUGGUGGUUUUGAGCAUGAAGCCAUCUUCAGCGCUCUAAUUCGUAAUAAUUGGAAUUUGAAGGUGGUUCCGGGGGUUUUGAGCAAGAAGCCAUCUUCAGAGCACUAAUUCGUAAUAAUUGGAAUUUGAAGGUGGUUCCCGGGGUUUUGAGCAUGACGCCAUCUUCAAAGCAUUAUUUCGUAAUAAUUGGAAUUUGAAGGUGGUUUUAUGGGUUUUGGGGUGCGCUGAGGGCGAUGCAAUGAUUUAAAAUUGUGUCCGACGUUUCGUUUUACCAGGAAGGCAUCUUCAGAGAACUAAUUCGUAAUAAUUGGAAUUUGAAGUUGAUUCCGGGGGUAAGCUGAGAGCGAUGCAAUAUAUGGAGGCGGUCUGUAUACGAAGGCGGUCCGUAUACAUAGGCGGUCCGUAUACGAAGGCGGUCUGUAUAGGAAGGCGGUCUGUAUAUGGAGGCGAUGCGUAUAUAGAGGCGGUCUGUAUAUGCAGGCGGUCUGCAUAUGGAGGCGGUCUGUAUAUGGAGGCGGUCUGUACGUAGCUAGUUAGCUAGUAGCUAGACUCGUCGUUGCGAUAGUAAUCCUGCUCAGUAGGAGAGGAACCGCAGGUUCGGACAUUUGGUUCACGCACUAGCUCGAGCGGGCUAUGGUGCGAAGCUACCAUCCGUUGGUUUAUGCCUGAACGCCUCUAAGGCCGUAUCCUUUCUAGUCGAAGGCGGCAACGAUAUCUUUUGGAGUUCCAAGAGUCGAAAGGCUCAAAACAAUGUGACUUUACUAGGCGGUCGGCGUCCGCCUUCGCACGAGCCCGAUUGGCGCUCGAGGUCACCGAUCGGCCGCGGGAUCGAUCCUUGCCACGUCCGAUCAGACCUUCAGGCGGCCGAUCGUGGGUCAAUCCUUUCGAUGUCGGAACUCGGAAAAAAAACUGCUGUCAAUCCAAGAAAGUGAAAUUUUUAAGUAGUUACCUGCAGUUUUGACUAUAAUCUACCGUAAAUCAUAGGCGAAAACCAAUUAUUUGUCUCAAAAAGAGGGGUUUUAAGUAUAUAUCUGCUUUUCUAAGGUAGAUUUGGGUGCACUAAGAGGCGAAAAAGCAGAUUCUGGCAGGUAUCUUAUCGAAAUCGGCAACUAUUUGACUCAGAAAGGUGGUGAUAUUUAUUGGUUUAUGAAGAUUUUCUCUACUAUAAUGCUUAAAGACGCCAAUUUUGGCUAGUAUUUGAAAGAUAUUGACAUGAAUAUGUAACCUUUUGGAGUAAAAAGUGAUAGUUUGAGCUGAUAUUUGCAGUUUUG